CCAGCACCUGCGGUAAUUCCAGCUCCAAUAGCGUAUAUUAAAGUUGUUGCAGUUAAAACGCUCGUAGUCUGAUGUAAUGGGGACUGGAGUGGGGAGCAGCGAUGCUCUUUGCUUUGAUCCUCAUCAAGGGGACAGCAAUGUCCCAUUCGUUUACUUUGAAUAAAUUAGGGUGUUCAAAGCAGCCAAAAAAGGAGGCAUGAAUACUACAGCAUGGGAUAACGGAAUACGAUUUCGGUUCGAUGUUUCGUUGGUUUCUAGGAUCGAAGUAAUGAUUAAAAGGGAUAGUUGGGGGCAUUAGUAUUUAAUUGUCAGAGGUGAAAUUCUUGGAUUUAUGAAAGACUAACUUCUGC
rnacentral:rRNA from 1 species